CUUCACGAAAAGACCAGCUAGAGCAGCAGAUAAGAUACUUUUGUUUUCAAGAUACGCAAAUAAAGGAUUGAAAGGGCAUUCUCCAGAUUCAUAUGGCACAACAAAAGGCCGAGACAAAAAUGUAAUAGUAUAACCAGAAACAAACAGCAGGGAGGUCUGGGGGUUCCAGAUACAUCAUUGGCACUUCGGAACAGAUGAAGGUAAAUAC